UUUUUUUUUUUUUUUUNUUUUUUUGUCUUUUUGCCUUUUCUAGGGCCGCUUCCCACGGCAUAUGGAGGUUCCCAGGCUAGGGGUCUAAUUGGAGCCAUAGCCACUGGCCUACACCAGAGCCACAGCAACGUGGGAUCCGAGCCGCGUCUGCAAACUACACCACAGCUCAGGGCAACGCUGGAUCCUCAACCCACUGAGCAAGACCAAGGAUCGAACCCGCAACCUCAUGGUUCCUAGUCAGAUUUGUUAACCACUGUGCCACAAUGGGAACUCCAAGUACCUCCCUCAUUUUAAUUUUAUUUUUACCUACCUGCUAAAGAAAAAUGCUUUAUGGUAAUAGUAUAGCAGUUUUUAAGAAAUAGCAAGUGACUGGAGUUCCCACUGGGCGCAACAGGUUAAGGAUCCAGCAUUGUCUCUGUGGUGGUUCCAUCCCCCCCGCCCAGGGCAGUGGGUUAAGGAUCCAUUGUUGCUGCAAGCUGUGGCCUGGAUUUGAUCCUUGGCCCAAGUACUUAAAUAUGCUGUGAUUGCAGCUAGAAAAGGGGGGGAAAAAAAAGAAAAAUACCAAGUGACCAAAUUAGAUAACUUGUGUCCUGGCUGUAGAAAAAAGUUUUGGGAUUAGUUGAAGUGUCAUUGCCGCUGGAACAAAAAGUUUCCUUCUCUGCACUAGAUAUUUUAUUUUACUUGGAUUUUCUCUGGGCAAUACGUAAAGUAAAUAAAUUCUUAAAAUUGAGCCUUAGGUCAAACAAAGACAAUCUAAUGACAUUCUCAGGGAAACCAUAAAAAUUGGGCUAAGCUAAUAUGUUCAGUAGUCUUCUGGGUAACACUUUAAAAUAAUUGUAUUUUUAUUUCAAAAAUAAUGUGUCCAGUGUGGAACCUUUGCAAAAUACAGAAAAGAACAAAUAAGAAAGUUCAAUUAUGAGCUAAUUUUAAAUACUUAAGGCAGAUUUCUUGUAAAUUAUUAUGACUAAUAGGGAGAUAGCUGUAGUUAAAACUACUUUUAGAUUAUUAGUAUCUGCUGUAAGAGGGGAGAUUUUAUUCUUAAAUAUUAUUUGUGUACAUUCUGUAGUAUUUUUCAUCCCAGAAAGAACUUUGUUGUAAUUCUAGACACAGAGGGGCAGAUUUAGAUCUUGAAAAUUACUUGUGGUACUUACUGAAUGCUUGCAGUAUGACUUAGGGCCAUCCGCUGUAAAUAUUUGAAGCCACAAAAUUUCCCUUUGUUUCUCAUGUCACCUACUUUUGUUUAAUUGGGAUUUGAUAAGUUGUUUUACGAAGUAGUUUCUAGUAUGUUAAGAUUAUCCUUUUCUCCUGGUAUGUGUAUGAUAAAUUUCAGUAGAAGCUAGUUCCUAGUACACAAAGUAAACCAUCCUUUAAUCUACUUUGUACCCUGCCAAAAAAUUCCAAAUAAAGCAUAAUGUAUAUAUUUUCCACUAAGCCAGAAAUUCUCAAUCUGUAUUUAAGAGUUUGUGUUUUGUAUGCUGUUCCAAGAGGGUCUGGUAAUCCUGGGAUUAAAGAAACAUAAGAUUUAUGUUUGCUGUGGAGAAACAUGAUCAUCCCAGCCACUAUGAAUCACUCUGGAAACAUCCCAUCUCUUUUUCCCAGUUACUCAGAUCAUUCCAUCAAGUUCAAUUUGGUUUAACAAACAUGAAACACCUUUCAUAAUCUCCAAAAGCUUACAGUGAUAGAGAAAAGUCAGAUGUAUAAACAAUCAUAAUACAGUGUGAUAAGUACAAUGUAAGAUUUAAAAGAAGGAGUGGGGAGUUCCCAUCAUGGCUCAGUGGUUAACGAAUCCGACUAGGAACCAUGAGGUUGCAGGUUUGAUCCCUGGCCUUGCUCUCAGUGGGUUAAGCAUCCGGCAUUGCCGUGAGCUGUGGUGUAGAUCGCAGAUGUGGCUGGGAUCCCAAGUAGCUGUGGUGCUGGCGCCUACAGCUCCGAUUCAACCCCUAGCCUGGGAACCUCCAUAUGACACAGGAGGGGCCCUAGACAAGGCAAAAAGAUAAAUAAAUAAAUAAAUAAAUAAAUAAAUAAAUAAAUAAAUAAAUAAAAUAAAAGAAGGAGUGGUUAACUUUGGGAUUGGAUGGACUUCAAGAACACCUUAUACAAGUCAUAUUUGAGCUGAGUGAAGGAUGACGAAGUUCACCAGAACUCAGUAUGAAAGGACGGUCCUGGAGAAAGGAGAGCAGUGCAGAGCCCUGAUGAUAGGUCAUUUUAGCUGAUUAGCCUAGCGUGAAGCACUGUGAGGAGAGGAGUGCAGCAGAGGUGGUGUGAGCCAGAUCACUCGGGGCCAUGAUGAACAUGAAACGUGUGCAUGGUGAGGAGCCAGGGCAAGGUUUUCAGCAGAGGGGUAGUGUGAUCUUUCUGAAACAAAGCUGGAUCAUUUUGUGAUCAUGUUGGGAUGUAUGGGAGAGUGAAAUUUGUGAAAUACAUCUCAAAUCUCAUGUUGAGAUGUAUGGAGGCAGUUAGAAGGCCGAAUUGAGGCGGUAGCACAUUCAUCUAGGGUAUGUAUGUUUGAGAGGUAUGUAGGGGAAUUGACAGGACUUAAUUAAUUUCAUAAUUAAAUGAAAGGGUACAAGGCUUUAAUUUAGAAAAAUGUUAGGUAUAUUUUUAGUAUUGUUGACAUUUAAGAUCAUUUAAGCAUUAGAUUGGCUCAGGAAAGACUUAACAGGUAACUUGUAAAUAUGGAAAGAAAAAAAUAUUAAAUACAUUUUUAAUGAAGGUAACAUUUUAUAAGCAUGAAAUAAAUCAUUGGCUAAAAUGUCAUAGGUCUGCUAUUUGAAUUUAGAUUUGCAAGAUUGAUUUGCAGUAAUUUUUGUAUAAUAGUGGUUUCAAUAGAUAAGAAAUUUUAAAACUACCACAGCUAUAGCAUCUUCGAAAUGGAAUAUCCUACAGCUUUUUAAAUCAUGGUUAUAUUUUCUAUUAUUCUGUGCUUGAGCUUUUAUUGUAAAACAUCUUUCUGUCUGCAUACAAGCAAUGGCUGAAUUCCAGGAUCAAAGAUUUUAGAGGGAAUUUAGCAAUAUUCUUCAUCACAUAAUAUGCUCAUUAGAGCAAGCCUGGCCCACUCUGCUGGUGAUAGAAAAUGGUAUUUUCAGGUCAUCUGAGGGCUGACUUUCUAUUAAGAUGUUUAAUCCUUACUACUAAAUAAAAGUUAUUUAUAAACAUGGUGUCAAUUCUUUUCACAAGCACUUAUCCAGAAUCAGGGAUUCCUCCUUUUUCAUCACCAUGUAAUAAAAUUACUCAACCAUAUUGGUUUUAUGAUAAAUAAAUGCACUUUUCUGAAAAGCUUUACACUCAUCAGGAAGCAUUUAUUGAAUGUCUAUUUGUAGAACGCAAUUCUGACCAUCCUGAGGAAAAAAAAACUUCUCAAGGGCAAUUUUAUAAUCCAGCUGCAGAGACAGUAUAGACCUGUGAACUAAAAAGUAUUCAAUGAUAAACAUUUGGAUAAACAUUGAGGGAAUGCAGGGAAAAGGAACUAUCAGAAGAGAAAAAAUUUCCUAGAAGUAAGUUUUAAACAGCACUUAGAGAAAAAUUUUUUUAAUCAAGAUAUUUUCACUUCAGAUAUAUAAUUAUUAUUUGAAAUGAGGUUCCAGUAGGCUCUUUCUUCCCAGAGAAUAUCUCCUUAACAUCAAGAUCAGAAAAGCCUUUUUAUUUUUUAUUUUUUGUCUUUAGGGCCGCACCUGAGGCAUGUGGAAGUUCCUAGGCUAGGGGUCGAAUCAGAGCUACAGCUGCUGGCCUAGCCACAGCCACAGCAACACCGGAUAUGAGCUGUGUCGGCAACCUGCACCACAGUUCACAGCAACGCUGGAUCCUUAACCCACUGAGCAAGGCCGGAGAUCAAACCCAUGUCCUCAUGGAUCCUAGUCGAGUUUGUUACUGCUGAGCCACAACAGGGGCUCCAGAAAAAAGGCUUUUUUAAUCACUUCUUCCAUUAAGUCAUUUUGGAGAAGAACUAGGGCCAAAGUAGAGAUCUUAAUCUGGCAGCCGUGUGUUCCAUGUGGGUAAAUUGUCAUGGAGCCCAGAGUUUCCACAUGGGCCCUUAAACUUUUCUUGUGCCAUUAAUCCCUUUGGCAGUCUGGUCAAGCACAUGAAUCUCUCCUCAAAAUAAUAUUUUAAAGUUAGUACUAUGCCUAUUAUAUAGCAAUUAAAAGUUGUGAUACCUUUAUGGUUUUUGUUUUUUUUCAACACGUUGUAUAAUACUGUCUAGGACAGGAAUAACUACCAUACUAUGUAGUGUUGAAGGGAAAUGAUACUGCAACUACAUAACAUGACUUGUGUCUGAUUUCUUUUGGUGGUAAACCCACAGAUAUUGUUGAUACUGCUGUGGUUUAUGGCCUAUACUUAUAACUGAAAGAACUGGUAGGUUUCAAGUAGUGAUUAGUUAAAAUGAAGGUGUAAUUUUUUGUGGGUCCUUUGAUUUCUUUUCAUGGGUCACUUGGUGGUCCUAAGACCCCUAGUUAGGAAACUGUGUAGUUUAGCAAUUACUAAGAAGCCCUAGGAAGUAAAUGAAUGAACAGGGUGGUUCACCUUACCAAAUAAUCUACUUUUAUCUUGUUUUAUCUAUCAGAAUUUCACAUAAGAUUUCAUUUGAAAUAGAAAUGGUUUAUGGGGCUAAAUGUGUAAUUUUGAAAACAAUUGUAAACAAAAAAAUAUUGAUUCUUUAUCUUACUUUUUAACUUAAAACUUAACUUCCUUUAUAAACAUUCUCAGCAUGUUAGUGUACCAUUAAGUUUAUAACCCCGAAAAUAGAGAUUUAGAAGUCAACAGGAAAUAGUGGAAGGCGUGGAACACCAAUAAGACUGCCCAGCAAUAAUCCGUGUGAGUGUAGCCUGAGAUGAGGAACAGACUAAGAAGUAGCGAAGAAGAAGAAGUGAAGCCCUGGAAAGAAGACAGAGAGAGGUAGGAGAAGAACAUUUCCGUAACAUUAAAGAAGCAAAGGAUGUCAGUACUGUGGAGAUGUCAUAGAUGAUGACCAAAAAGAAUCCAGCAAACUUGGGCAGGAGGUGAGUGACCUUUCCUAUGGCAUUUUCAGCAGAGUGAGGUGGGCAGAUGCCAGAAUGAAAUGGCCUGAAGAGUGAAUAAGAGAUGAGGUGAAGAUAGUGUGGUAUAGACCGGUGCUUUUCAAAUGAAUGUGGUGAAACAGUAUCUGUAAUUUCCAACCUGUUAACUGACCGCAGUCCUGCCAUGCAUGUCUGGCGUGCCACUUACACCAUGUGUUAGGUACCCUAAGAACUGGAUGACAGCCAAACUGAUCUAGACUCUCUUAAGACAGGUCCACUGAUGCCAGGCUUGAAUGUCAUGGCCAUGUCACAUUGCUAUUCAAAUUUCUAAAUGCUUAUUCUUAAUUCUGUAUUGUAGUCUAGGUGCAGACUAUUCUUUCAAAAAGCUUACCUGUCAAGGAAGAGAGAGAAUAGCCCCUACUCUAUGGGGCUGACUUGUAGGAUUGAGAGAAGGUUUCUGCCAAUGUUAUUUCUUGCAACUUUCUCCUCUGAAUAUCUCCCGAUGUUCUUCAUGCUUCACAUUCUUUUCAGCCCCAACUUUGGAGCUCUAAUACCUAAAAUAGCUCCCUGGUACAUAGAAAGCAUUUAAAUUAAAAGGUUAUUAAAUGAAAAUUCAUGUGAACUGUGGAAGAUCUAAGUGGUCCUGUGUUUCCAGAUUUUACAGUAGAAUACCUCAUUUAAUCUCUGGAUAUUUAUUUUGCCUGUGGUCAGGGAAUUGUCAGGGAGAUGAUAAUUUUCACAGUUUUUGAGUGCUUUCAAUCACUACCCCCUGUUUUCAAAGAGGACAUCACUUACUCUUACUUAGUAGGACCUGUGCUUUGAGGGGUUUUGUUUGUUUUUUCAAAAUUGGGAGUGAAUAUGCCUCUUGCUUUGCCUCCUCUCCCCUCUUGGAGGACAGUUAUUAACAAAAUACUGGUCAGAUUUGGGUCUGUAUCAUGACCACAGAAUAAAGAGAACUGAAUUGACUGGCACAGAGCUCAAACCCAAGAGAAUAAUUUAACAGAAAGGACUUUGGUUUUCCACAAAACUCUUUACUUUCCUCUUUCUCUAAAGGGAGUGAUUUUCAAAUCUCCUCAUAUUUUUCUCAUCUACAGCAUUGCCCAUAGCCCACACAGAGGAACUCAAAUUUGUACCUGGAAAAAUGAGAAUUCUAAUCUAAAAUGUGGGCGAUAUGAAUAGGAACCAAAGAAAAGUGGACAAUUUCUGUCAUUCAGGCAGCAGACCUUUACUGAAUGCUUAAUAUGUGCCAGACACAUAUGUGCCAGAAACUUUAUGUAGGCUCGGGGACUACAAGCUCUACAUCAAGAUGAGAGAAGGAAGAUCCAAAUAAAGAUUUACAGACUUUACUGUCUGCGGUAUUCCUGGACCAAAGUCGGUGAAACUAGGUAGGUGGGCAUCCAAACUGGUAAUCCAACUGUCCAAUCUGUGGUUGAUUUUAUUAGAGUGAUGAAUUCUAUGGAUAGUUAAAUUAACAGAAAACAAAACAGAUAAUUCAAACUAUCAUAACUUAUUUUUUAAGGUAGCAGGAACUUCAGCUCAUGUAAUGCACAAGGAAGCCUAUUCUACAGCAAAAUAAGGAAUCUUAUUUACUGGGAGUUCCUACUGUGGUGAAGUGGGUUCCUACUGUGGUGAAUCCAAACACAGUGGCUUGGGUCGCUGCAGAGGUGCAGGUUCAAUCCCCAGCCGGUGCAGUGGGUUAAGGAGCCAGUGUUGCUGCAGCUGUGACUCAGAUUCAGUCCCUGGCUGGGGAACCCUCUGUGAGCAGCAAGUGAGGCCAUUAAAAAAAAAAAAAGAAAAAAAA
rnacentral:lncRNA from 1 species